AACGCAUAUUGCGCUCUCUGGUAUUCCGGAGAGCAUGCCUGUUUGAGCGUCAUUAAAAAUAUCAAGCCGAUGUGCUUUUUUUGUGGCAUAUGGGUUUGGAUAUGGGCAGUUGCAGGAUUUGUGUUGCAUUGUCUGAAAAGAAUUGGGUGCAAAAAUGCAAGACCCCUCGGCGUAGUAACGAAUACAUCGCUGGGGCGUUUUAGAGUGUCUAGCAUUGGAGGGCCCGAACAAGAAAUUUUAUUGAUUUUGACCUCAAAUCAAGUAGGAACACGCGCUGAACUUAA
rnacentral:misc_RNA from 1 species